rnacentral:rRNA from 1 species
CCCGCAAGGGAUGAGUAGAGUGGCAAACGGGUGAGUAACACGUGGGUGACCUGCCUUCGAGCGGGGGAUAACGUCCCGAAAGGGACGCUAAUACCGCAUGACAUCCCGCCUUUGAAGAGGUGGAGAUCAAAGCUGGGGAUCGCAAGACCUAGCACUUGAAGAGGGGCCCGCGUCUGAUUAGCUAGUUGGUGGGGUAACGGCUCACCAAGGCAACGAUCAGUAUCCGGCCUGAGAGGGCGGACGGACACACUGGGACUGAGACACGGCCCAGACUCCUACGGGAGGCAGCAGUGGGGAAUUGUUCGCAAUGGGCGCAAGCCUGACGACGCAACGCCGCGUGGAGGAUGAAGACCUUCGGGUCGUAAACUCCUUUCGAUCGAGACGAAUGGCUUCCGGGUGAACAAUCCGGAAGAAUGACGGUACCGAGAGAAGAAGCCCCGGCUAACUCCGUGCCAGCAGCCGCGGUAAUACGGGGGGGGCAAGCGUUGUUCGGAAUUACUGGGCGUAAAGGGCUCGUAGGCGGCCAACUAAGUCAGACGUGAAAUCCCUCGGCUUAACCGGGGAACUGCAUCUGAUACUGGAUGGCUUGAGAUUGGGAGAGGGAUGCGGAAUUCCAGGUGUAGCGGUGAAAUGCGUAGAUAUCUGGAGGAACACCGGUGGCGAAGGCGGCAUCCUGGACC